UACGUAGGCAGCAAGCGUUGUUCGGAGUUACUGGGCGUAAAGGGUGCGUAGGCGGCUUUUUAAGUCUGGUGUGAAAUCUCCCGGCUCAACUGGGAGGGUGCGCCGGAUACUGAGGGGCUAGAGUGUGGGAGAGGAAAGUGGAAUUCCUGGUGUAGCGGUGAAAUGCGUAGAUAUCAGGAGGAACACCGGUGGUGUAAACGGCCUUCUGGACCAUAACUGACGCUGAGACACGAAAGCGUGGGUAGCAAACAGG
rnacentral:rRNA from 1 species